rnacentral:lncRNA from 1 species
UAAAAUUCAACAGUUCAUCUCAGGUAAUGUAAGAAAACUGGAAGACUUGCAUAGAGCUUUACCAUAUUUUGAUCCAACACCCUGACAAUUUGCUGAGAGGUCCAUAGCUUCCCUUACAGUCAUCUCUAUUAUAUGCCAAUCUUGUUGACUGACAUAAGGGGAUGUUUUUGGGGAAAAACUCUUUCUUGCUGAGAGAUCCAUAGCGUCCCUUACAGUCAUCUCUGUUAUAUGCCAAUCUUGUUGACUGAUAUAAGGGGAUGUUUUUGGGGAAAAACUCUUCCAGACCAUGUCCAUUGUAAGUAAUAUUCCCUGACAUCUUCAAAUUGGUCAACAUUUUAGCAGAAUAUUGAGGAAAAAAAGAUUACUAUAUAGCAGAACAUGUUCUUUCUCUACCUCCAAAUCAUGAAAAUUCAGAUAUGACCGUAC